GACGAACGCUGGCGGCGUGCUUAACACAUGCAAGUCGAGCGGUAAGGCCCUUCGGGGUACACGAGCGGCGAACGGGUGAGUAACACGUGAGUAACCUGCCCUGGACUCUGGGAUAACCCCGAGAAAUCGGAGCUAAUACCGGAUAGGACCUUGCACCGCAUGGUGUGGGGUGGAAAGUUUUUUCGGUCUGGGAUGGACUCGCGGCCUAUCAGCUUGUUGGUGAGGUAAUGGCUCACCAAGGCGUCGACGGGUAGCCGGCCUGAGAGGGUGACCGGCCACACUGGGACUGAGACACGGCCCAGACUCCUACGGGAGGCAGCAGUGGGGAAUAUUGCACAAUGGGCGCAAGCCUGAUGCAGCAACGCCGCGUGCGGGAUGACGGCCUUCGGGUUGUAAACCGCUUUUAGUAAGGAAGAAGGGGAGCUUGCUCCUUGACGGUACUUGCAGAAAAAGGACCGGCUAACUACGUGCCAGCAGCCGCAGUAAAAC
rnacentral:rRNA from 1 species